rnacentral:rRNA from 1 species
AGUUAACGUUGGCGGCGUGCCUAACACAUGCAAGUCGAACGCGUCCUAAGGGCAACUUUAGGAUGAGUGGCGAACGGGUGAGUAUCACGUGGGUAAUCUUCCUUUAAGUGGGGAAUAAGCUCUCGAAAGGGAGUCUAAUACCGCAUGACAUUCCGGGACACAAGUCCCGUAAUCAAAGCCGCAAGGCGCUUGAAGAUGAGCCUGCGUCCUAUUAGCCAGUUGGUGAGGUAACGGCUCACCAAAGCUACGAUCGGUAGCCGGACUGAGAGGUUGAACGGCCACAUUGGGACUGAGACACGGCCCAGACUCCUACGGGAGGCAGCAGUGGGGAAUAUUGCUCAAUGGAGGAAACUCUGAAGCAGCGACGCCGCGUGAAGGAUGAAGGUUUUCGGAUCGUAAACUUCUUUGACCGGGGACGAAUAAUGACGGUACCCGGAAAACAAGCCACGGCUAACUACGUG